rnacentral:rRNA from 1 species
AGUGAACGCUGGCGGUACGCCUAACACAUGCAAGUCGAACGGCAGCACCGUAAGAGCUUGCUCGUACGGGUGGCGAGUAGCGGACGGGUGAGGAAUAACUCGGAAUCUACUUUUUCGUGGGGUGUAACGUAGCCAAACUUACUCUAAUACCUCAUACGUCCUACGGGUGAAAGCAGGGGAUCUUCGAACCUUGCGCUCUUGAAUUAGCCGAUGUCGGAUGAGCUAGUUGGCGUGGUAAAGGCCCACCAAGGCGACGAUCCGUAGCUGGUCUGAGAGGAUGAGCGGCCACACUGGAAUUGAGACACGGUCCAGACUCCGACGGGAGCGAGCAGUGGGGAAGAUUGGACAAUGGCAGCAAGCCUGAGCCAGCCAUAGCGCGUGGGUGAAGAAGGCCUUCGGGUUGGAAAUCCCUUCUGUUGGGAAAGAAAAGCAGCCGAUUAGUAUGCCGCUGUUGUGACGGUACCCAAGGAAUAAGCACCGGCUAACUUCGUG